rnacentral:rRNA from 1 species
AGUCGAACGAUGAAGCUAGGGCUUGCUCUGGUGGAUUAGUGGCGAACGGGUGAGUGCACGUGAGUAACCUGCCCUUGACUCUGGGAUAAGCGUUGGAAACGACGUCUAAUACCGGAUACGAGCUUCAGCCGCAUGGCUAGGAGUUGGAAAGAAUUUUGGUCAAGGAUGGACUCGCGACCUAUCAGGUAGUUGGUGAGGUAAUGGCUCACCAAGCCGACGACGGGUAGCCGGCCUGAGAGGGUGACCGGCCACACUGGGACUGAGACACGGCCCAGACUCCUACGGGAGGCAGCAGUGGGGAAUAUUGCACAAUGGGCGAAAGCCUGAUGCAGCAACGCCGCGUGAGGGACGACGGCCUUCGGGUUGUAAACCUCUUUUAGCAGGGAAGAAGCGAUGUGCUUGUCAUGUCAUGACGGUACCUGCAGAAAAAGCACCGGCUAACUACGUGCCAGCAGCCGCGGUAAUACGUAGGGUGCAAGCGUUGUCCGGAAUUAUUGGGCGUAAAGAGCUCGUAGGCGGUUUGUCGCGUCUGCUGUGAAAACGCGAGGCUCAACCUCGCGCCUGCAGUGGGUACGGGCAGACUAGAGUGCGGUAGGGGAGAUUGGAAUUCCUGGUGUAGCGGUGGAAUGCGCAGAUAUCAUGAGGAACACCAAUGGCGAAGGCAGAUCUCUGGGCCGUAACUGACGCUGAUGAGCGAAAGCAUGGGGAGCGAACAGGAUUAGAUACCCUGGUAGUCCAUGCCGUAACGUUGGGAACUAGAUGUAGGGACCAUUCCACGGUUUCUGUGUCGCAGCUAACGCAUUAAGUUCCCGCCUGGGAGUACCGUCCCAGACUAAACUCAAAGAAUUGACGGGGCCCCACAAACGGCGGAACUGCGGAUUAAUCGAUGCACGCGAAAAACCU